GUUGAAGAACGCAGCGAAAUGCGAUAAGUAGUGUGAAUUGCAGAAUUCAGUGAAUCAUCGAAUCUUUGAACGCACAUUGCGCCCCUUGGUAUUCCAUGGGGCAUGCCUGUUCGAGCGUCAUUUGUACCUUCACGCUUUGCUUGGUGUUGGGUGUUUGUCUCGCCUUUGCGUGUAGACUCGCCUUAAAAUAAUUGGCAGCCGGCGUAUUGAUUUCGGAGCGCAGUACAUCUCGCGCUUUGCACUCAUAACGACAGCGUCCAAAAGUACAUUUUACACUCUUGACCUCGGAUCAGGUAGGGAUACCCGCUGAACUUAAGCAUAUCAAUAAGCGGAGGA
rnacentral:misc_RNA from 1 species